AGGUUUCAGAAUCUUUCGGAUUGUUAUCAAUGGGUUAGUAAAUACUAUUCAACCGAAUAUUGGCAAGCAGUAUAUCGAGAGAGUGUUGAACCACUAGGAGAUCCUUCUGAAUGGUUACGUCCGGAGAAUCUUCCCGAGAUCCAGCCACCUCUAAUACAGAAUCGUCGUUCAGGCCGACCGUCAGAACAAAGAAGGAGACCAUCGCAGGGGGAGGAAGUACGUCAACCUGUUUGUAGUCGGUGUCGCGAGCGUGGGCAUACUAGACUUACUUGUGCGAACCCUUUAUAAUUGCGUACAUCCAGAUGUUUAGGAUGUGCAAUUUGAGGAAACUGGGCACUACAGCGCAAUUUGAGGAUAAUGGGAACUAAGGGAAAUUAUUUUUUCUGUUUGGAUGUAUCAAUAGAUUUGUUUUUAUUUUGUAUUGUUGUGUAAUGAUAUUUUUUGCAACAUUUACUUUGUUUGUAUCCAAGGGAAGAUAUACUAGGUGUUUUUGAAAA